rnacentral:rRNA from 1 species
UAUUGCACAAUGGGCGGAAGCCUGAUGCAGCGACGCCGCGUGAGGGAUGACGGCCUUCGGGUUGUAAACCUCUUUCAGCAGGGACGAAGCGUGAGUGACGGUACCUGCAGAAGAAGCACCGGCUAACUACGUGCCAGCAGCCGCGGUAAUACGUAGGGUGCGAGCGUUGUCCGGAAUUAUUGGGCGUAAAGAGCUCGUAGGCGGUUUGUCGCGUCGGCCGUGAAAACUUGGGGCUUAACCCCGAGCCUGCGGUCGAUACGGGCAGACUUGAGUUCGGCAGGGGAGACUGGAAUUCCUGGUGUAGCGGUGAAAUGCGCAGAUAUCAGGAGGAACACCGGUGGCGAAGGCGGGUCUCUGGGCCGAUACUGACGCUGAGGAGCGAAAGCGUGGGGAGCGAACAGGAUUAGAUACCCUGGUAGUCCACGCCGUAAACGGUGGGUGCUAGGUGUGGGAGACUUCCACGNUCUCCGUGCCGCAGCUAACGCAUUAAGCACCCC